GUGGUUCCUGAGUACAGCGGGACACGAGAAACCCUGCUGGAAUCUACCGGGACCAUCCGGUAAGGCUAAAUACUCGAUUGUGACCGAUAGUGAACUAGUACCGUGAGGGAAAGGUGAAAAGCACCCCUGCGAGGGGAGUGAAAUAGUAACUGAAACCGCAUGCCUACAAGCAGUGGGAGGGCUAUGCCGCAAGGCAGCCUGACCUCGUGCCUAUUGAAUAAUGAGCUGGCUAGUUUUUUCAGUGGCAAGGUUAAGCGUAAGCGAGCCGUAGCGAAAGCGAGUCCUAACUGGGCGUUUUAGUCGCUGGGAAAAGACGCGAAGCGGGAUGAUCUACCCUUGAUCAAGGUGAAGUCAGUGUAACAGCUGAUGGAGGCCUGAACCGGUGUUGGUUGAAAAACAGCUCGGAUGAAUUGAGGUAGGGGUGAAAGGCUAAUCAAAAUUCCGUGAUAGCUCGUUCUCUCCGAAAUAGCUUUAGGGCUAGCCUUGUAUGGACCGUCUUGGUGGUAGAGAUCUGAAUGGACUAGGGGCCUU
rnacentral:rRNA from 1 species